rnacentral:rRNA from 1 species
AGAACGAACGUUAGCGGUGUGGAUUAGGCAUGCAAGUCGCGCGCGAAAGUCCGCAAGGACGAGUAAAGCGGCGAAAGGGUGAGUAACACGUAAUCAACCUACCCCUCAGAUCGGAAUAACCACUGGAAACGGUGGCUAAUGCUGGAUGACCCUGCGAUGAGGCAUCUCGAUGCAGGUAAACGGUGGCGCAAGCUGCUGCUGAGGGACGGGAUUGCGGGCUAUCAGCUAGUUGGUGAGGUAAUGGCUCACCAAGGCUAAUGACGGCUAGCCGAUCUGAGAGGACGACCGGCCACACUGGGACUGAGACACUGCCCAGACUCCUACGGGAGGCUGCAGUCGAGAAUCUCCGCAAUGGCGAAAGCCUGACGGAGCGACACCGCGUACAGGAUGAAGGCCUUACGGGUUGUAAACUGUUGUCACGCUAAUAGGAACCUAGUUCGUAAGUUAAUAGCUGCGAGUCUGACUAAAGCGAAGA